CCCUGAUCACUCUGUCUUAUCAUGCAUAACAACUGUGCAACAGACUUCCUGCCAUAUUUUCGCCUUGCUGAACAACACUAAACAAUGUAAAAGUACAACUCUAACAUAACUUAAUGACAACUGAAAUUGAAGAGUUCUGCAUUUACCAGAAUCUGAAGUGCCAUGGAUUGUGUCGCCAAACAUCACAUUGUACCCAGUUUCGGACUGGGAAUUUGGAAUCUCACCAGUAAGGCUCAUCUGCUAAAUGGCUUUUUUUCCAGACGAACUGGCUUUGGAGUGGUUUUAGGACAAAUCACCACUGAGUCAAAACAAGAAGCCAAGCAGUACGAAGCUACAAAGUGAAGGGACAGAGCAGAAAACCUUCAGCCUGAGCAGCAAACUCUCAGUGUGGGGACAAGGAUCAACUUUUACCUGCAAAGCUAAUCACAAUUAUACUGAAUAUAAGAAGACAAUAAGCAUUUGUCACAAAAUUCACCUUUCAUUCAUGUGGAGAUUCCCAAGUUUAAGACUUAAGCGUCAGACUCUAAUGUGCAAGGAACAUGUUGGGUCCACACUAAUUUUGAUGCCAUGAUCUCCUGGCUGAUUAAUGGAGCGCCACAAACAGCUAAUAAGAGUAAAACACAACUCUUAUUAUAAGUUUAAAAAAAAUUUUGAGUUGGCGGAAGCAAGUAAAGCAUUUAACAUGCAGAGGAGAGCAAACGUGUGUCACAUCUGCUGAGAAGACUAUAAAUAUUGUCGGGUCCACACUCAUUUUGAUGCCAUGAUUUCCUGGCUGAUUAAUGGAGCGCCACGAAUGAAAAAAAUGUGCAGAGAGUAAAACACAACUGGAAGCAAGUAAAGCAUUUAACAUGCAGAGGAGAGCAAACUCUACCAUCUAUAUUUUUGGUAAAAGCUACUCUUGCUUCCCUUUAUGGUUUCUGUUAAAUAGAUUAAUUCAUGCCCUGAUUUGUCUCACUUUAGUGGAGCUUCUUCUGGUCAAAAGUAAGGAGUCAAGAUCACAGACACUCUUAUGCUCUGGAUGGGUCUUCAAUGAUCAUAUUAGAUGGUUUAACGAGUCUCAGCAAAGAUCAACAACCACUGAUAUCAGCAUGAGUGUAGAUGGACAUGCUGGAGUGACCAGCCAACUUAUAAUUGAUCACUCUGAGUGGGAAACAGGAAAGAUCUUUUCUUGCACAGUAUCUGACAGAUCUCUGAAUAAAAAUAUCACAAGAAAUGUCAGUCUCUGUACAGGUAAAGUGAAAACACUAUUAUUGUGAUACACAUUAAGAAUUGUUUUGUUUUUUUGUUUUUUUUUUAGUACCUCCAUCAUCCUCACAGCUAGUUGGGGUUCAUGUUCAGGGACCAUCAUCACUGUAGCAGCCUGAGAACAAAGGACCCGUGACUGUUAUCUGUCUUCUGGUUGCCCCUAGUCUUAAAGAUUUCUCCAUCACCUGGAAAUCAGCUGGCAACAAAAUUCCUGACUGUUAUGUCCUAACUAAUCCUGCAGUGAGUUACAACAAUGGGACAGAGACUCAACAGAGCUUCCUUAAUGUGUCAGCAGAAAAUUGGGAUGCAGAUAAACAAGGGUUUUGUGAAGGAAAACAUCCAUGUUCCAAUCAGGGCAAUGAAGACCAUAUAAGCAAAACCAGAGUGUUUUUCAAGACCUUUGUGUGCCAACAGUGAAGACAAUGCAACCAACUGCCUCUGAAGUUUCAGUGUCUGACAUCCUAACGCUUAUUUGCCUAGUGUCUGGAGUUUUCCCUGCAAACAUCAUAGUGCACUGGGAAGAAGAUGGCCAGACUCUCCCAUCCAUGCAUGACGUUAACAGUCCUCAAUGGAAAUACUCAGGGAGCAGCUCUUACUCUGUGAGCAGCAGACUAAACAUAUUCAAAACUGAAGACAAAAGGUCUACGUAUUCCUGUGUUGUCACACAUGAGUCAUCUGAAGCACUUGUUGAAGCCACCAUAACUGAUGUGUUUGCCUCAGUGAUCUACAGCCAACCAUCUGCCUACUUGCUUCAGGGCUCUAAUGAACUUGUGUGCCUGGUUUUUGGCUUCAGUUCUGUAUCCAUUAACAUCACUGGGUUUCCAAAUGGACACACAGAACUGCUGAACUACAACACUAGUGACUCCAAAGAUGCCCAGAUGGAAAGUUCAGUGUCCAGAGCCACCUUGACCUGUCCCAAAUUCUCACUGAAGGCAUCAUAACUAUGAAUGAACACAUAUGAAUGACCUGACGUCCUGCCUCGUCCUUGCCGUAGCAUUUGUGCUGUACCUCAUCGAUUGCUUUUUUGCUUCCCCCUGAGUUCCUGUGCUGCUCACUAUUUCACCAUGUACCAGGACACACUGAUUGAUGGUGAGUUAAUGAUACUUUUAUCUGUCUAUCAUUUUAUCUGUCUCACUUGUUUCUCUCUGUUUUCAUCUCCUCAGCUGUUA